UACGUAGGGCGCAAGCGUUGUCCGGAUUUAUUGGGCGUAAAGAGCGUGUAGGCGGUUUGGUAGGUCCGUUGUGAAAACUCGAGGCUCAACCUCGAGACGCCGAUGGAAACCAUCAGACUAGAGUCCGGAAGAGGAGAGUGGAAUUCCCGGUGUAGUGGUGGAAUGCGUAGAUAUCGGGAGGAACACCCGUGGCGAAGGCGGCCAGCUGGGCCGGGCCUGACGCUGAGGCGCGAAGGCGUGGGGAGCGAACGGG
rnacentral:rRNA from 1 species